UACGGAAGGCAGCAGUGGGGAAUAUUGCACAAUGGGCGCAAGCCUGAUGCAGCCAUGCCGCGUGUAUGAAGAAGGCCUUCGGGUUGUAAAGUACUUUCAGUCGUGAGGAAGGUGUUAAGGUUAAUAACCUUAGCAAUUGACGUUAGCGACAGAAGAAGCACCGGCUAACUCCGUGCCAGCAGCCGCGGUAAUACGGAGGGUGCGAGCGUUAAUCGGAAUUACUGGGCGUAAAGGGCACGCAGGCGGUUAAUUAAGUUGGAUGUGAAAUCCCCGGGCUUAACCUGGGAAUGGCAUUCAAGACUGGUUAGCUAGAGUCUUGUAGAGGGGGUAGAAUUCCAUGUGUAGCGGUGAAAUGCGUAGAGAUGUGGAGGAAUACCGGUGACGAAGGCGGCCCCUGGGACAAAGACUGACGCUCAUGUGCGAAAGCGUGGGGAGCAAACAGGGAUUAGAUACC
rnacentral:rRNA from 1 species